UUAGGUGGUUAUUGCGUCGGGGUUCCACCUCUUCCCAUUCCGAACAGAGAAGUUAAGCCCGAUUGCGCCGAUGGUACUGCAAUGCAAUGUGGGAGAGUAGGUAGCUGCCUUUUUUCU
rnacentral:rRNA from 1 species